GCCAGACUCCUACGGGAGGCAGCAGUGGGGAAUAUUGGGCAAUGGCGGCAACUCUUACCCAGCAAUGCCGCGUGAAUGAAGAAGGUCUUCGGAUUGUAAAGUUCUUUAAUUGGGGACGAAAAAAAUGACGGUACCCAAGGAAUAAGCCCCGGCUAACUACGUGCCAGCAGCCGCGGUAAUACGUAGGGGGCAAGCGUUAUCCGGAUUUACUGGGUGUAAAGGGAGCGUAGACGGUCCUGCAAGCCAGAUGUGAAAGCCCGGGGCUCAACCCCGGGACUGCAUUUGGAACUGUAAGGCUAGAGUGUCGGAGAGGCAGGCGGAAUUCCUAGUGUAGCGGUGAAAUGCGUAGAUAUUAGGAGGAACACCAGUGGCGAAGGCGGCCUGCUGGACGAUGACUGACGUUGAGGCUCGAAAGCGUGGGGAGCAAACAGGACUAGAUACCCGCGUAA
rnacentral:rRNA from 1 species